UUUGUUUUGGAUUUAUGAGUUUGACUGUCCCUUUGGUAUCUUUCGUCCCUCUUUUAAAUGUAAAACAAGGUAAAAGAGGGACGAAAGAUACCAAAGGGACAAUCAAAAUCAUAAAUCGAA
rnacentral:sRNA from 1 species